rnacentral:misc_RNA from 1 species
AAGACAAAAUUUCUAGCUUUUGGAGUGAAGUAAGAUUCUGCAGUUGAGGCAGAGAUUCUAGGUCCGGAAUGGCUUCGAGAUACAAAUGCUUCAAUUUGGAUAGUGGAGCAAGAAUCAAAGAGGAAGAAGAAGUGGCCAUCGUCUCACGUAGCAACCUUGCUUUGGCAUGUUCCAAGCGGAGCUCUUGAUGGAGAGAUGGAAACAGCGGCAUGAAAGUGAAAUCUUUGCAAUUCUUCAUUAUCAAUUUUGAAAGACAAGGCAAGUUCAAUUCCAUUCCUCCUCCACCAUCCUCUCAAACUAGUGCAAUGUUUGAGUUGAAUCUCUUGCAGUGACGGGAAAAAUGUAAUUGAUGGCGAUGCCCAAAAGCAAGGCACCUCAUCUGAUAUAUACACCAAGGAAAAAAGCGUAUCGAAACAAAGGGCUUUUAGAAAGGGGAGUUGAUCCAAGGGUGGUAGUUG